ACGCUCGACACCUACGGGAGGGAGCAGUGGGGAAUAUUGCACAAUGGGGGAAACCCUGAUGCAGCGACGCCGCGUGGAGGAAGAAGGUCUUCGGAUUGUAAACUCCUGUUGUUGGGGAAAAAGAGGAUGGUACCCAACAAGGAAGUGACGGCUAACUACGUGCCAGCAGCCGCGGUAAUCUGAGCGGGCUGGCAAGGC
rnacentral:rRNA from 1 species